GACGAACGCUGGCGGCGUGCCUAACACAUGCAAGUCGAACGGAAAGGCCCUGCUUUUGUGGGGUGCUCGAUUGGCGAACGCGUGAGUAACACGCGUGUAACCUGUCCCUGUCUUUGUGAUAACUUUAGGAAACUCGGGCUCAUAUCGGAUAUGAUCUCUUGCUGCAUGUUGUGGGUUGGAAAGUUUCGGCGGUUGUGGCUGUACUCGCAGCUUAUCAGCUUGUUUGUGGGGUAGUGGCUUACCAAGGCUGUGACGGGUAGCCGGCCUGAGAGGGUGACCGGCCACAUUGGGACUGAGGUACGGCCCAGACUCCUACGGGAGGCAGCAGUGGGGAGUCUUGCACAAUGGGCGGAAGCCUGAUGCGGAGACGCCGCGUGCGGGAUGACGGCCUUCGGGUUGUAAACCGCUGUCGCCUGUGACGAAGCGUGAGUGACGGUAAUGGGUAAAGAAGCACCGGCUAACUACGUG
rnacentral:rRNA from 1 species